CUUGCCACUGUUCUCCCCCGGAAAUCUACAACACGACCACUUGUUAUUGCACCAAUCAUGGCACCUAUGGUCAGUAGGGAACUAAAGGUAGAAUGCUGCACAAGAACAUUAAGGAGAAUCCCAUCGUCACCAAGAAAGCUUGGGUAGAGGGAUGGGGCAUAUCUUCCAAGGCCAGUAUUGAUGCAGGACAUAAUUGUGUACUACUAUUGUUUAAAAAAGGAUCAUGUAGAUAUUUGUGAUGAUGAAGUUCUGGGAAUAUUCAUUAAAAGGUUGAUUUCAUCAAACCCAGGUAUGUUCUGGCAAUGGUCCAAUUGUUAUUGCUUGGGUAAUGAAAUAUUUGCACAGAUGUCAAGACCUUUUGUAAUUACCCAAUUUACUACAUUAUGAUUUAUCUUUACAUUUAAACUGUAUUAUAUCUCCAUCAGUUCUUAAUGUUGUAUACAUAAUGUUCAUUCCUUUUGGCUUUCAUUGAAGCUAC